CAGCAGCCGCGGGAAUACGGAGGGUGCAAGCGUUAAUCGGAAUUACUGGGCGUAAAGCGUGCGUAGGUGGUGGUUUAAGUCCGUUGUGAAAGCCCUGGGCUCAACCUGGGAAUUGCAGUGGAUACUGGGUCACUAGAGUGUGGUAGAGGAUAGUGGAAUUUCCGGUGUAGCAGUGAAAUGCGUAGAGAUCGGAAGGAACAUCUGUGGCGAAGGCGACUAUCUGGGCCAACACUGACACUGAGGCACGAAAGCGUGGGGAGCAAACAGGAUUAGAGACCCCGGUAGUCCCUGUCUCUUAUAC
rnacentral:rRNA from 1 species